rnacentral:rRNA from 1 species
UGGGGAAUAUUGGACAAUGGGGGGAACCCUGAUCCAGCCAUGCCGCGUGUGUGAAGAAGGCCUUAUGGUUGUAAAGCACUUUAAGCGAGGAGGAGGGUACUGGUAUUAAUACUACCAGCUACUGGACGUUACUCGCAGAAUAAGCACCGGCUAACUCUGUGCCAGCAGCCGCGGUAAUACAGAGGGUGCGAGCGUUAAUCGGAUUUACUGGGCGUAAAGCGUGCGUAGGUGGUUCGUUAAGUUGAAUGUGAAAGCCCCGGGCUCAACCAGGGAACUGCAUCCAAAACUGGCGAGCUAGAGUAGGGCAGAGGGUGGUGGAAUUUACUGUGUAGCGGUGAAAUGCAUAGAUAUAGGAAGGAACACCAGUGGCGAAGGCGACCACCUGGGCUCAUACUGACACUGAGGUGCGAAAGCGUGGGGAGCAAACAGA